AGCGUACACGGUGGAUGCCCUGGCAGUCAGAGGCGAUGAAGGACGUGCUAAUCUGCGAUAAGCGUCGGUAAGGUGAUAUGAACCGUUAUAACCGGCGAUUUCCGAAUGGGGAAACCCAGUGUGUUUCGACACACUAUCAUUAACUGAAUCCAUAGGUUAAUGAGGCGAACCGGGGGAACUGAAACAUCUAAGUACCCCGAGGAAAAGAAAUCAACCGAGAUUCCCCCAGUAGCGGCGAGCGAACGGGGAGGAGCCCAGAGCCUGAAUCAGUGUGUGUGUUAGUGGAAGCGUCUGGAAAGGCGCGCGAUACAGGGUGACAGCCCCGUACACAAAAAUGCACAUGCUGUGAGCUCGAUGAGUAGGGCGGGACACGUGGUAUCCUGUCUGAAUAUGGGGGGACCAUCCUCCAAGGCUAAAUACUCCUGACUGACCGAUAGUGAACCAGUACCGUGAGGGAAAGGCGAAAAGAACCCCGGCGAGGGGAGUGAAAAAGAACCUGAAACCGUGUACGUACAAGCAGUGGGAGCACGCUUAGGCGUGUGACUGCGUACCUUUUGUAUAAUGGGUCAGCGACUUAUAUUCUGUAGCAAGGUUAACCGAAUAGGGGAGCCGAAGGGAAACCGAGUCUUAACUGGGCGUUAAGUUGCAGGGUAUAGACCCGAAACCCGGUGAUCUAGCCAUGGGCAGGUUGAAGGUUGGGUAACACUAACUGGAGGACCGAACCGACUAAUGUUGAAAAAUUAGCGGAUGACUUGUGGCUGGGGGUGAAAGGCCAAUCAAACCGGGAGAUAGCUGGUUCUCCCCGAAAGCUAUUUAGGUAGCGCCUCGUGAAUUCAUCUCCGGGGGUAGAGCACUGUUUCGGCAAGGGGGUCAUCCCGACUUACCAACCCGAUGCAAACUGCGAAUACCGGAGAAUGUUAUCACGGGAGACACACGGCGGGUGCUAACGUCCGUCGUGAAGAGGGAAACAACCCAGACCGCCAGCUAAGGUCCCAAAGUCAUGGUUAAGUGGGAAACGAUGUGGGAAGGCCCAGACAGCCAGGAUGUUGGCUUAGAAGCAGCCAUCAUUUAAAGAAAGCGUAAUAGCUCACUGGUCGAGUCGGCCUGCGCGGAAGAUGUAACGGGGCUAAACCAUGCACCGAAGCUGCGGCAGCGACGCUUAUGCGUUGUUGGGUAGGGGAGCGUUCUGUAAGCCUGUGAAGGUGUGCUGUGAGGCAUGCUGGAGGUAUCAGAAGUGCGAAUGCUGACAUAAGUAACGAUAAAGCGGGUGAAAAGCCCGCUCGCCGGAAGACCAAGGGUUCCUGUCCAACGUUAAUCGGGGCAGGGUGAGUCGACCCCUAAGGCGAGGCCGAAAGGCGUAGUCGAUGGGAAACAGGUUAAUAUUCCUGUACUUGGUGUUACUGCGAAGGGGGGACGGAGAAGGCUAUGUUGGCCGGGCGACGGUUGUCCCGGUUUAAGCGUGUAGGCUGGUUUUCCAGGCAAAUCCGGAAAAUCAAGGCUGAGGCGUGAUGACGAGGCACUACGGUGCUGAAGCAACAAAUGCCCUGCUUCCAGGAAAAGCCUCUAAGCAUCAGGUAACAUCAAAUCGUACCCCAAACCGACACAGGUGGUCAGGUAGAGAAUACCAAGGCGCUUGAGAGAACUCGGGUGAAGGAACUAGGCAAAAUGGUGCCGUAACUUCGGGAGAAGGCACGCUGAUAUGUAGGUGAAGUCCCUCGCGGAUGGAGCUGAAAUCAGUCGAAGAUACCAGCUGGCUGCAACUGUUUAUUAAAAACACAGCACUGUGCAAACACGAAAGUGGACGUAUACGGUGUGACGCCUGCCCGGUGCCGGAAGGUUAAUUGAUGGGGUCAGCGCAAGCGAAGCUCUUGAUCGAAGCCCCGGUAAACGGCGGCCGUAACUAUAACGGUCCUAAGGUAGCGAAAUUCCUUGUCGGGUAAGUUCCGACCUGCACGAAUGGCGUAAUGAUGGCCAGGCUGUCUCCACCCGAGACUCAGUGAAAUUGAACUCGCUGUGAAGAUGCAGUGUACCCGCGGCAAGACGGAAAGACCCCGUGAACCUUUACUAUAGCUUGACACUGAACAUUGAGCCUUGAUGUGUAGGAUAGGUGGGAGGCUUUGAAGUGUGGACGCCAGUCUGCAUGGAGCCGACCUUGAAAUACCACCCUUUAAUGUUUGAUGUUCUAACGUUGACCCGUGAUCCGGGUUGCGGACAGUGUCUGGUGGGUAGUUUGACUGGGGCGGUCUCCUCCUAAAGAGUAACGGAGGAGCACGAAGGUUGGCUAAUCCUGGUCGGACAUCAGGAGGUUAGUGCAAUGGCAUAAGCCAGCUUGACUGCGAGCGUGACGGCGCGAGCAGGUGCGAAAGCAGGUCAUAGUGAUCCGGUGGUUCUGAAUGGAAGGGCCAUCGCUCAACGGAUAAAAGGUACUCCGGGGAUAACAGGCUGAUACCGCCCAAGAGUUCAUAUCGACGGCGGUGUUUGGCACCUCGAUGUCGGCUCAUCACAUCCUGGGGCUGAAGUAGGUCCCAAGGGUAUGGCUGUUCGCCAUUUAAAGUGGUACGCGAGCUGGGUUUAGAACGUCGUGAGACAGUUCGGUCCCUAUCUGCCGUGGGCGCUGGAGAACUGAGGGGGGCUGCUCCUAGUACGAGAGGACCGGAGUGGACGCAUCACUGGUGUUCGGGUUGUCAUGCCAAUGGCACUGCCCGGUAGCUAAAUGCGGAAGAGAUAAGUGCUGAAAGCAUCUAAGCACGAAACUUGCCCCGAGAUGAGUUCU
rnacentral:rRNA from 1 species